rnacentral:rRNA from 1 species
UACGUAGGUGGCAAGCGUUGUCCGGAAUUACUGGGCGUAAAGGGCGCGCAGGCGGUCAUGUAAGUCUGCUGUGAAAAGCAUCGGCUCAACCGGUGUCUUGCGGCGGAUACUGCAUGGCUUGAGUACUGGAGAGGGAAGUGGAAUUCCCGGUGUAGCGGUGAAAUGCGUAGGUAUCGGGAGGAACACCGGUGGCGAAGGCGGCUUUCUGGCCAGUAACUGACGCUCAUGCGCGAGAGCUGGGGUAGCGAACCGGAUUAGAUA